rnacentral:misc_RNA from 2 species
UCCUCCCUCCAAAACCCCGCCUUACCGCGGGCGUUUCGGGUGUUGGACCGCGUUGGACCGCUCGCGGCCAACUGGUCUCAAAGACAAUGACGGGCGUCCAUGGGACCCUCUUCGCACUGAGCUUUCCGGAGCACGCGUCGAGUUGCAAGGUCUUGUGGGCCCGGCCACCUCUAAAUCUAUUUUUUCA